CCUACGGGUGGCAGCAGUGAGGAAUAUUGGUCAAUGGCCGCAAGCCUGAACCAGCCAAGUCGCGUGAGGGAUGAAGGUCCUAUGCGUUGUAAACCUCUUUUGCCGGGGAGCAAAGGGCCGGACGCGUGCCGUCCCGAGGGUACCCGACGAAAAAGCAUCGGCCAACUCCGUGCCAGCAGCCGCGGUAAUUAGGAGGGUGCGAGCGUUAUUCGGAAUCAUUGGGCGUAAAGGGCGCGGCGGCGGGAUGGCAAGCCAGGUGUGAAAUCCUAGGGCUUAACCAGCGAACUGCCUUUGAAACUGGGGUUCUGGAGUGUGGGAGAGGUAGGUGGAAUGCGUGGUGUAGGAGUGAAAUCCGUAGAGAUCAAGCAGAACACCGAUUGCGAAGGCGACGUGCUGGCACAUAACUGACGCUGAGGCGCGAAAGCGUGGGGAGCGAACAGGAUUAGAUACCCGAGUAGUC
rnacentral:rRNA from 1 species